rnacentral:lncRNA from 1 species
AACACAACAAGCUAUAAUAUUUUAGUUAAGUAAGACCCUUCAUUUCAAUAUAGUCAAAAUCGAAUAUAAUUGCCCUUGUGUUAGCACAACAAAGCAGUAUAUCCAAAAUUACCGUAAGCAUCUUUUAUGCACCAGGAUUAUGUUAUAUCAAUCCUUAUGACAAGCCUUAUGGUAACACAACAAACUAGCCAUAGUUCAUGAUGUAACAUUAACCUAGCAUGA